rnacentral:rRNA from 1 species
AUUGAACGCUGGCGGCGGGCCUAACACAUGCAAGUCGAACGAGUGGCGGACGGGUGCGUAAUGUCUGGGGAUCUGCCCGAUAGAGGGGGAUAACUGCUGGAAACGGUGGCUAAUACCGCAUACUGUCGGAUGAACCCAUAUGGGAUUAGCUAGUAGGUGGGGUAAAGGCUCACCUAGGCGACGAUCGCUAGCUGGGCUGAGAGGAUGAUAGGCCACACGGGGACUGAGACACGGCCCAGACGCCUACGGGAGGCAGAAGUGGGGAAUAUUGCGCAAUGGGGGCAAGCCUGAGGCAGCAAUGCCGCGUGUAUGAAGAAGGUCUUAGGGUUGUAAAGUACUUUCAGCGGGGAGGCGGUACCCGCAGAAGAAGGACCGGCUAACUUCGGGCCAGGAGCCGCGGUAAUAC